GCUGUGCUGCACUGAAACCUGGCCAGCCUGGGAGUCAUACAUCUGACUCCCCACCUUACGUGGCCUGCCAGAAACACUUUUGCAUUACUUUGGACUCGCCAAGCAUUCUCAUUGGGAGAAAAUGAAAACUCCCACCAUGUCUACGUUUUUGGGGGGCACUUGAGGAUGAAAUGAAUGGAAGAAUAUAUUUAAAAGGUCGAAUUGUUCCUGCACCAAAGAUCAACAAGUGGUGGCUUCUGCUCCGGACGCGCAGGCUCAGCGGCCAUGGCUCACGGGCCCAGCCACUCCGCGGCAUGUGGGAUCCCCCCGGACCGGGGCACAAACCCACGUCCCCUGCAUCGGCAGGCGGACUCUCAACCACUGCGCCACCAGGGAAGCCCAAGUGGUGGCUUCUUAAAGGCCUCUCACUGUUGUGGCCUCUCCCGUUGCAGAGCACAGGCUCCGGACGCGCAGGCUCAGCGGCCAUGGCUCACGGGCCUAGCUGCUCCGCGGCAUGUGGGAUCUUCCCGGACUGGGGCAUGAACCCACGUCCCCUGCAUCAGCAGGCGGACUCUCAACCACUGCGCCACCAAGGAAGCCCCCAACCUUGCACUUUAAAUGGAUAUUUUGCCUGUGAGUGAUUUUGAAACAUCACGCAUUGAUCAUUUGGAAAACAUUAGUUCACUGAGUUACGUAGAUCUUCCAAAUGUUGAUACAUUUUGUUAUACAAUAUUAAAAAAUAACAUUCCUUAAUAUUGCAACCAGUUGGGAAGCUGUCAACCUCACAGUGGCAAAUACACAUUUUCCAAAAUACUAAGUUGCACUUGGAAGCUUGAAUUUUAUAAUUGGCAGCAAUUAUUGUCAAUUAUUUUUCUUGAAGUGGUAGGCUCACUUCAUUCAUUUUCAAGAUUGUGUCUGCCAAAUACCCAAGUCUGA